rnacentral:rRNA from 1 species
ACGCUCGACACCUACGGGAAGCAGCAGUGAGGAAUAUUGGUCAAUGGGCGCAGGCCUGAACCAGCCAAGUAGCGUGAAGGAUGACUGCCCUAUGGGUUGUAAACUUCUUUUAUAUGGGAAUAAAGUUUUCCACGUGUGGAAUUUUGUAUGUACCAUAUGAAUAAGGAUCGGCUAACUCCGUGACAGCAGCCGCGGUAAUCUGAGCGGGCUGGCAAGGC